AUACCUUUCUCGGCCUUUUGGCUAAGAUCAAGUGUAGUAUCUGUUCUGAUCAGUUUAAUAUCUGAUAUGUGGGUCAAUGACCCACACGAUAUUAAAUUAAUUUCUCUAGGGGAGGGUCCGCUACAGUAGCUUGCUAUUGGGGCUCUCAAGUGUCGCCCAAGCGUUGCACUAUUGCAUGGGCUUGGUGCACCCCAC
rnacentral:snRNA from 2 species